ensembl:lncRNA
CAGUUACUGUAUUUCUACUCCAGUAUAGUUAGGCUACAUCGAGGACACUACUCCAGCAUAGUUAGGCUACAUCGAGGACACUACUCCAGCAUAGUUAGGCUACAUCGAGGACACUACUCCAGUAUAGUUAGGCUACAUCGAGGACAGUACUCCAGUAUAGUUAGGCUACAUCGAGGACACUACUCCAGUAUAGUUAGGCUACAUCGAGGACACUACUCCAGUAUAGUUAGGCUACAUCGAGGACACUACUCCAGUAUAGUUAGGCUACAUCGAGGACACUACUGCAGUAUAGUUAGGCUACAUCGAGGACACUACUCCAGUAUAGUUAGGCUACAUCGAGGACACUACUCCAGCAUAGUUAGGCUACAUCGAGGACACUACUCCAGCAUAGUUAGGCUACAUCGAGGACACUACUCCAGUAUAGUUAGGCUACAUCGAGGACACUACUCCAGUAUAGUUAGGCUACAUCGAGGACACUACUCCAGUAUAGUUAGGCUACAUCGAGGACACUACUCCAGCAUAGUUAGGCUACAUCGAGGACACUACUCCAGUAUAGUUAGGCUACAUCGAGGACACUACUCCAGUAUAGUUAGGCUACAUCGAGGACACUACUGCAGUAUAGUUAGGCUACAUCGAGGACACUACUCCAGUAUAGUUAGGCUACAUCGAGGACACUACUCCAGUAUAGUUAGGCUACAUCGAGGACACUACUCCAGUAUAGUUAGGCUACAUCGAGGACACUACUCCAGUAUAGUUAGGCUACAUCGAGGACACUACUCCAGUAUAGUUAGGCUACAUCGAGGACACUACUCCAGCAUAGUUAGGCUACAUCGAGGACACUACUCCAGCAUAGUUAGGCUACAUCGAGGACACUACUCCAGUAUAGUUAGGCUACAUCGAGGACACUACUCCAGUAUAGUUAGGCUACAUCGAGGACACUACUCCAGUAUAGUUAGGCUACAUCGAGGACACUACUCCAGUAUAGUUAGGCUACAUCGAGGACACUACUCCAGCAUAGUUAGGCUACAUCGAGGACACUACUCCAGCAUAGUUAGGCUACAUCGAGGACACUACUCCAGUAUAGUUAGGCUACAUCGAGGACACUACUCCAGUAUAGUUAGGCUACAUCGAGGACACUACUCCAGUAUAGUUAGGCUACAUCGAGGACACUACUCCAGUAUAGUUAGGCUACAUCGAGGACACUACUCCAGUAUAGUUAGGCUACAUCGAGGACACUACUCCAGCAUAGUUAGGCUACAUCGAGGACACUACUCCAGUAUAGUUAGGCUACAUCGAGGACACUACUCCAGUAUAGUUAGGCUACAUCGAGGACACUACUCCAGUAUAGUUAGGCUACAUCGAGGACAGUACUCCAGUAUAGUUAGGCUACAUCGAGGACACUACUCCAGUAUAGUUAGGCUACAUCGAGGACACUACUCCAGCAUAGUUAGGCUACAUCGAGGACACUACUCCAGUAUAGUUAGGCUACAUCGAGGACACUACUCCAGCAUAGUUAGGCUACAUCGAGGACACUACUCCAGUAUAGUUAGGCUACAUCGAGGACACUACUCCAGUAUAGUUAGGCUACAUCGAGGACACUACUCCAGUAUAGUUAGGCUACAUCGAGGACACUACUGCACACAUGAUUAUGCAUUUCCCUGUUUGGAAAUACUUUAA